rnacentral:rRNA from 1 species
UGGGGAAUAUUGGGCAAUGGGCGAAAGCCUGACCCAGCGACGCCGCGUGGGUCAUGAAGGCCUUCGGGUUGUAAAGCCCUGUCAUGCGGAAAGAACGACCCUGAGACGCAUACUCUCAGGGAGUGACGGUACCGCAGGAGGAAGCACCGGCUAACUCCGUGCCAGCAGCCGCGGUAAUACGGAGGGUGCAAGCGUUGUUCGGAAUUAUUGGGCGUAAAGGGCGCGUAGGCGGUAAUGUAAGUCAGAUGUGAAAUACUCCGGCCCAACCAGAGAACAGCAUCUGAAACUGCAUAACUAGAGUACAGAAGAGGGAAACGGAAUUCCCGGUGUAGAGGUGAAACUCGUAGAUAUCGGGAGGAACACCAGUGGCGAAGGCGGUUUCCUGGUCUGAUACUGACGCUGAGGCGCGAAAGCGUGGGGAGCAAACAG